CGUGGACGGCGCAAGCUGGCCGACAAAUGGGACUCAACUGUGCAUGUUGUGGUUUCUGUGGAUACAAGGUGUCAUACUUACCGUGUAAGGAACACCAGGACCAAUCAGGAGAAGGUGGUUCAUAGGAACUUGCUUUUACGUGCAAAUUUCUUACCUGUUGACGUGAGGAAGGAUUGUGUUGAACCAGCUUCCGAAGACUCCGGGUCGGACUUUGAGACCGAUGACUCUAUGAACGACAAAGCUAUAAAUGAAUUAGAGGAUGUUGGAAACGAGAUUGAUGAAGCAGUUCAUUCUCCAGCUUGUCUGUCGACCCCAUCAAAUGCAGGGGAAACCAGAGGUCUAAGUUUCGGACCAGUAUCGGAGCAUGUCCUUGAUGGAACGGACGUUGAAAGUGAGACUCAGGAAAAAGUUCAGAGUUCAGAAUCUGACACUUCCAAUGGAGCAGUUCAUCCUCCAGCUUGUCAAUUGAGCCCUUCAAUGGGAGAGGAGACCAGAGAUUCAGAUUUCAGAUCAGGAUCGGAGCAUGUCCUUGAUGGAAUAGAUGAUGAAAUUGUGAGUUGGGAAAAAGUUCAGAGUCCCGCAUCUGACCCUCAUGAUAUGAAUGUUGAGGAAGUUGAACGUGACAUGGAAAAGUCAAAACCAACUGACGGAGUUCCUGGAGAAGUAGUUCAGCCUUCGUCUGAUAUGACUCACACGGUCAGAACUAGGGCUGGCAGAUUGAUUAAACCAGUUGAUAGACUGAUUCAAAUUAUGACCCAGAAGACCUUGUUACGUAGCCCUACGCUUAGCCUUCUAUGGUCAAAAACUUCUUAAGUGGCAUUUGAGUUCUCCAGUCUGAAUAAUUCAUUUGGGGUAAAAUAUUAGUGGUGAUCAUUUGAGUAUCUUUGGAGUAGUGUUUAUGGCACUUCUUUUUGCGGGUGGGCAUUUGAGAGUCUGGCCAACUUUCUUUUGUCACUCUCCCAGUGAGUUGGGUAACAGGGUUGUUGCGUGCAGAUACUGUGGUUUUUAGAGUGUGAUCACAUCCCCAAUUUCGAUUAGUCACUAGUAUUAGAUUAGUUUUGUGAAGUUCAGGGGGGUGAAUGUAGCAAGUUGGGAAGAGAAAAGUAUUGAUUGUGUCUUGGGUUUGUAUGAUGAACUUCCCAAAACUAUUUUUCUUUGUUUUUGGGAACUAUCGGUUGGGGUGUUUGUUGUGUGGGACAUUUAUCAGUGUUGCGCGCUAUGCAUUUGGAGUGCGUGAGUUACGUCAUCCUCAGUUUGCGGAUAGACGCUGGCGAGGAAAGACGCACUUAUUUUCUCUCGCUCUUCCUACUUAAUGUUGUGUGUGAUGUGGGAAGAGGUUGGCGCAACGAAAAAUAUUGAUCAAAUUGUCCCAUAUGUUUCCAGGGCGGGUCAAUAAAUUCAGCU